rnacentral:misc_RNA from 1 species
AAAUCUCCAUCUACAGAAUCGUUGGUGGUAGUUCAGCUAACUCUAUAAGCAACUACUACUACUACUGUCGCUAAUAAUAAUAAUGCAGCUGCGUUUCUCGCCUCAUCGACUGAGAGACUGUAAUAGUAAUUGGUAAUUACGGUCAGCGGCAUCUAUCUACUUUCAUUAUCAUUAUCGUACUAAACAGACCAAUAACACUCCCACACAGCGAUUCAAUAUCUCCCACUUUAUUUCGUUAACAGUAGUAAAAGCAGCGGCAAAAACAUCGAUAGUUAUAACAGCUACUGCAACUUUCUCGUUUUAUAGUAAAAGAAAAAAAGAACUACUACAAAAGUGCUUUUCAUUAUUUUCAGUAUGUUGCUGGCGACGACGACGAAGACAUUUAGAACAAUGAUGAUGUUUGGAAUGGACGUGACGAUAACGGAAGAGAAAAUGAUGAUGGUGAGCUGACGAUUAUGACGACAACUAUGAUGGUGGUGGUGGUGGUGAUGAUGAUUAUGAUGAUGAUGGUAACGCCACUAAGUAUGACAGAGACGAUGUAAAGCAAAGAGACACAUUUACACCUGUCGCGAUGGUUUGGGCUACAACCGAUGAAACUCAUUAGAUGAUUAAGAAAGAAUUUUUUUUUUUCCAUUUCAAAAACCAUACAUCAACACAAACGAGAACUUCGCUUGACUGUAGAAUUUAUCAAACCAAAUCAACUUACAACCAAAAUUGUAACUGGACAUACUUGAGAGAGAGAAAAAAAAAAAAAAAAAUAGCAAAAAAGAAAAAAAAACAAAACAGAACAAAAAAAAACAAAAACAAAAAUAGACGGAAAGUGGGAAAGACAGAACAGGAGACACAAGUGAAAGAAGAAGAGCGGUAACCGAAGAAACGGAUAAGGAACUAAAAACAAAUAAUUUUCAGAUAUUUAUUCAAAACUGUCCGAAAAACCUCGACCGCCUGAAAAAUGGAUCUUGUGAGGACUUUAACAAUGCAGUUCUUUCCGAAAAGAAUCUUCAUACAAUUUGGGACCAUCUUUGCUCUGUUGGUAUUUAACAGUCUUACAAAAGUUGAUGGACAAACACAACAAACAAGCUCACACCAUGAUUACUGUAUCAUCGGAGCUGGACCGUCAGGACUUCAAAUGGGAUAUUUCCUAGAAAAAUCUGGGAGGGAUUACAUAAUUUUUGAAAGAACAAAUACCUCAGGAAAUUUCUUCACAAAAUACCCCCGUCAUCGUACAUUAAUCAGUAUAAAUAAAAGAAAUACCGGAAGGACGAACAAAGAAUUCAAUAUGAGACAUGACUGGAAUUCACUACUUUCUGACAAGGAGCAUUUAAAACUGCGCUAUUACAGUAAAGAAAUGUUUCCUCAUGCUGAUGUACUUGUUAAAUAUCUUUCAGAUUUCCAACGUAUGAACAAUUUAAAUGUCCAAUUUAAUGCAGAAAUGUCUAAUAUCCAAACUGUGAGAAAUGAUUCAGUUAAAGAGAAACAUACGUUCACUAUGUCUGACCAAUACAACAACAAAUAUGCUUGCAGAUGGUUGAUUGUUGCAACUGGCUUGUGGAAACCUAACAUCCCCAAAUUCGAUGGAAUUGAACUCACACAAGGAUAUGAAUCUAUUUCAAUUAAUGCAGACGAUUUUGAAGGAAAAUCAGUUCUUAUACUUGGUCGUGGUAACUCAGCUUUUGAAACUGCUAAUGCAAUUUAUGGUGCAACUAAUGUAGUACAUAUGAUUGCCAGGAGCAGGGUUAGACUAGCAUGGGCCACUCAUUAUGUUGGAGAUCUUCGUGCUGUGAACAAUGGAGUGCUUGAUACAUAUCAGCUCAAGUCCUUGGAUGGCAUUGCAGAAGCUUUCCUUUCUGACGAAACUAAGCUGAUGUCAAAGAAUGGAAAAUACCAGUUGGUUACAGACGACGAAUUUUUUGAUAAUUUUGCGUUUCGGGAAUCCUAUGAUGUUAUUAUAAGAUGUUUAGGAUUCACUUUUGAUGAUGAACUAUUUUACAAUACCACUCAACCGAGGCGUGGCACAGGUAAACUCAGGAAAUUUCCAGAAAUUUCACCUGUUUAUGAGUCCACGAAUAUUCCUGGAAUGUAUUUUACCGGUACAAUAACUCAUUCUUUGGAUUUCCGCAUGAGUGCUGGCGGGUUCAUUCAUGGUUUCCGUUACACUGCCCGUACUCUCCACCGUUAUUUGGAAUGGCACAAUCAUGGAAAAGAAUGGCCAUCUGUGAAAAUGCCGGUUAACGAUGUGCUUUAUUACACAAUCAAAAGAAUUAAUGAAGCUGCAGGAAUCUACCAAAUGUUCCAAGUCCUCAUUGAUGUCAUUAUUUUGAACGAGGAUCACACUGAAGUAACGUAUGUACAAGAAGUUCCUUUGAAGAUGCUUCAUAAAUUGCCUGAAGUAACUGGUAUUCCAUGCAAGGAAAUCGUAGCAAUUGUUUUCCAAUAUGGAGCCAACUUUUCAGGUCCUGGGAAUGAUGUAUUCCGAGAAGAUCGAGCUAACGUUACCCCAGAGAAAGCUGACAAAUCAAAUUUUCUUCAUCCUGUAUUAUAUCAUUACAAAAAGCUACCGAGUGAAAAACAGAUGUUAAAUUUACGGUCAAAGGAGCUGCUUCCCACACCUGAUGAUAUUCAUCAUAUGGUUGAAGACUUUCUCACUGUUUGGGACACACCAAACAGCCACAUUUUCCCACUUCGACGCUUUCUUGAGAACGUAUUCGACAAAGAUCUUCGCCACUUCUUCUCUUCUACAUGUGCCAAGUUUCUACUGACUCUCACUUCGCUGCCAUUGUUCUGUGAACAAUAUUACAUGAAAGGUCAAGGUCUUACCGGAAGUGACCUCUUGUUGGAGAUGAUUGAACAACAACUCGCUGCUUAAAAUUUUGAUGACCAGCAAAGAGUUGAAAAAUAACAAAGGCAAAAUUCUUCCAUUUGGCUUCUUUACAUUCUUUCUAUUUUUUCCCAGAGAGUUUUAUUUUUAUCCCAUUAUAACUGAGCGUUUCUUGCCAGAAACUGGUACUUCAAAUUCGAUAUUUGUUCUACUGCAUUAAUAAACUCAAUAAAAAUAAUGAAAUUUAUCAUUGUUGGAAAUAUAUUUUUAAACAGUUUUGCAAAAAUCUGUAUAUUACAGAAGUUAUUUUUUUAAUAGUUAUUUUAUCCACUACUGCAUAUGAUGUGAAUCUAUUGCAGAAAGUGUCCAUGAUAAAAUUUAUGCUCAUUACUGAAAAAUAUCAAUAAUAGUAAUUAUACAGUAACACUACUGUUUACUAUGGGGAACUAUACUUCUGAAUGAAUUGGUGAACUAGGUCAGCAAGAGUUUAGUAUCUUGGACUUGACAUUAAAAUGGUUACUGUAUAUGAAGGCAUAUGAGAUGGAUUGUUCCCCCACCACAGAAAAAAAAAAAAAAAGUCCCCUUGAGUCUUAUAGGCAAAGGUGAGCCUCUCAUAAACUUUAAUGCACUAAAACAUUUUUUUCCUGGAUAUGCACUACUGGAGUUGGGGUGCAUCUAAUAUAUCUGUGCAUCUUUUAUGCCAUCAAAUACAGUAGAUCUUUUGAGUAAAGUAUGAGAUUUAAAUUCAACUUCUUUUUCCAUAAUCUUAUGGACUUGAUAUUUAUAAAAUUACAAAUAUUUAUGAUAUUUGUUGGAAUGUUUACAUUUUUGUUCGAGUAGCUAAUUAUGUUAAGAACUUUAUAAAUGUUUGUAAAUGUUUUAAAAACAUAAUCUGCUACCUCAUUACAUAUACAACACCUUGUAAACAGGAGCUUUGUCAGACUAUAUGAAUAUACUGAUGAAAUAAAGACUGGAGUUUUCAAAAAAAUGUCAGAAACAAAAAAAAAAAA